CAGCCGCCGCGGUAAUACAGAGGGUGCGAGCGUUAAUCGGAUUUACUGGGCGUAAAGCGUGCGUAGGCGGCUUUUUAAGUCGGAUGUGAAAUCCCUGAGCUUAACUUAAGAAUUGCAUUCGAUACUGGGAAGCUAGAGUAUGGGAGAGGAUGGUAGAAUUCCAGGUGUAGCGGUGAAAUGCGUAGAGAUCUGGAGGAAUACCGAUGGCGAAGGCAGCCAUCUGGCCUAAUACUGACGCUGAGGUACGAAAGCAUGGGGAGCAAACAGGAUUAGAUACCCCCGUAGUCCCUGUCUCUUAUAC
rnacentral:rRNA from 1 species